rnacentral:rRNA from 1 species
GUCGAGAAGCUUCGGCAAUGGGCGAAAGCCUGACCGAGCGACGCCGCGUGAGCGAAUGAAGGCCCUAUGGGUUGUAAAGCUCUGUCAGAUUGGGAAGAAAACUCCGAGGUUAAUACCCUCGAAGCUUGACGGUACCAUCAGAGGAAGCACCGGCUAACUCCGUGCCAGCAGCCGCGGUAAUACGGAGGGUGCGAGCGUUGUUCGGAUUCACUGGGUAUAAAGGGUGCGCAGGCGGCUUGGUAAGUCAGGGGUGAAAUAUGACGGCUCAACCGUCAAACUGCCUCUGAAACUGCCUUGCUUGAGUCCGGGAGAGGAAGGUGGAAUUCCUGGUGUAGCGGUGAAAUGCGUAAAUAUCAGGAGGAACACCGGUGGCGAAGGCGGCCUUCUGGCCCGGUACUGACGCUCAUGCACGAAAGCCAGGGGAGCGAACGGGAUUAGAUACCCGGGUAGUCC